rnacentral:rRNA from 1 species
CAUGCAAGUCGUACGAGAAAGUUGGCUUCGGCCAAUGAGUAAACUGGCGGACGGGUGAGUAACGCGUAGGUGACCUAUCUAUAGGACCGGGAUAACACUGCCAACGCGGUGCUAAUACUGGAUGAAGCGCUUAUGUUUAAGAGAUAUAGGUGUUAAAGGUUGGCUGAGGAAGCUGAUGUCUAUAGGUGGGCCUGCGUUUCAUUAGUUAGUUGGUGAGGUAACGGCUCACCAAGGCGACGAUGGAUAGCCGGCCUGAGAGGGUGGACGGCCACACUGGGACUGAGAUACGGCCCAGACUCCUACGGGAGGCAGCAGUGAGGAAUAUUGCGCAAUGGGCGAAAGCCUGACGCAGCAACGCCGCGUGAGGGAUGAAGUUUUUAGGAACGUAAACCUCUGUCUAUAGGGAAGAAAGGUUAUUAAUUGAAAGGUUAAUAAUUGACGG